rnacentral:rRNA from 1 species
UAAACGACUCUCGGCAACGGAUAUCUCGGCUCUCGCAUCGAUGAAGAACGUAGCGAAAUGCGAUACUUGGUGUGAAUUGCAGAAUCCCGCGAACCAUCGAGUCUUUGAACGCAAGUUGCGCCCGAAGCCAUUAGGUUGAGGGCACGUCUGCCUGGUCGUCUCAC